GAUGAACGCUGGCGGCGUGCCUAAUACAUGCAAGUCGAGCGAAUGGAUUGAGAGCUUGCUCUUAUGAAGUUAGCGGCGGACGGGUGAGUAACACGUGGGUAACCUGCCCAUAAGACUGGGAUAACUCCGGGAAACCGGGGCUAAUACCGGAUAACAUUUUGAACCGCAUGGUUCGAAAUUGAAAGGCGGCUUCGGCUGUCACUUAUGGAUGGACCCGCGUCGCGUUAGCUAGUUGGUGGGGUAACGGCUCACCAAGGCAACGGUGAGUAGCCGACCGUGGAGGGUGAUCGGCCACACGGGGACUGGGAAACGGCCCAGAAGCCUACGGGAGGCAGCAGUAGGGAAUCUUCCGCAAUGGACGAAAGUCUGACGGAGCAACGCCGCGUGAGUGAUGAAGGCUUUCGGGUCGUAAAACUCUGUUGUUAGGGAAGAACAAGUGCUAGUUGAAUAAGCUGGCACCUUGACGGUACCUAACCAGAAAGCCACGGCUAACUACGUGCCAGCCGCCGCCGUAA
rnacentral:rRNA from 1 species